UGGGAAUAGUGAUAGAAACAAGAGAGAGGAAAAGUGGCAUGUAGAAUAUUCCUAUAGAGAAUCUGCCACAUUCGGGUGAGUGUAGAUAUUUGAUUGGAGGUGGGUACUGAUGAUGAGCAGAGCAGGCAUGAAAGAUAAGGGUAUGGCAAGCUUGGAAUUAGUAUUCUGACAAUCUCCAGUUAACAAAGCACCAUUGGAAUCGAGUAACCACUCAACUGUCGCUCCUUGCAUCCUUGAGCCAUCUAGCUUCUUGGGUAUGUUAAGUUAUGAUGUUGUGAUCCUUGAGAGGAUGACCUUCCAUAACAGCAAACAGACAGUAUAGAAGACGAUAUUUCACGACUUCUCAAGGGAACAUUAUUGAGUAUUUCAGUAAAAGGCAAGCUCCGCAAGUUCAAAUAGAAACUGAUAGCAUCCAGAAUAUCCCGAGCUGCCUUGCCAAGUAGAGAAAAUGUAACGGGCAAGCCAGCUAGAGGGAACUCUAAACCACUAUUUGAUUCUGGAGGAGUUAAGCCUGGUCUGAAAUCAUAGGCUUCUUGUUACAGUUGCGGAUCUGCAUAAUAACCAGAGGCAUUGCACCACUCACGAGAUUUAUUGUUAUGGAUCAUAUCUGCAGUAGGGUAAGAUGCUCUUUGAGGGAAGUAGAGAUGAGCAGAAUCCAAAACAGACUAUAAAAGGGCUCCAUCACUCGAAGGAAAUGGAACGAUACCAACAGAAUGUUGAGCUAUUGAUGGUGACAAUGUGGACACAUAUAACUUAUAAGAAUCAAAAGGAAGGCCUUCACAAGCAAACAGAUCGCAGAGUUUCACACAACCCAGAGAUGGUGGACCAUUACCUACCAUGGAACCCCUUCAAGUGACAACUAUUUAAGAGUAUACUAGAUUAUAUAUAUUGUCUUGACACUCAAGUCUCAAGGCACCAACACACCCAGUGUCCUUUUUCCUCCAAGAUCUCUGCAUCUCCUCACAACAAUAGAUACCCUCCUCUUUUUU
rnacentral:lncRNA from 1 species